CGCACAUUGCGCCUACUAGUAUUCUGGUAGGCAUGCCUGUUCGAGCGUCAUUUCAACCCUCAAGCUCUAAUUGCUUGGUGUUAGGGCUUUCUGCAAAGGAUGCAGGCCCUGAAGACCAGUGGCAGACCUCUACGGUGCUCCAGCGUAGUACUAUUCUCGCUGAAGAGACGCCUAAGAGGUUUUGCUAGCAGUAGCGAAAGCACUUCAAUGGUUGACCUCGGAUCAGGUAGGAAUACCCGCUGAACUUAA
rnacentral:misc_RNA from 1 species